AUUGAGUUGCUUUAAAAAUAUUCCAAAUUAGUGCUAAAAUUAGCAUGUAACAGUUUAUUUCGACUUUUCAGGAAAAAAUAUUGUGCUGGUGGCCACAGAGCAGGCAUACAGUUAGUGCCCAAAAGCACGAAAAGCCAGACACGACAAAUUGGCGAGUGCAUGUCGUAUCAACAAUCCUAUCAACAACUGAUGAUUUUGACGUUGCAAAACGAAGAUGCUUAGCUGCGGAAGACACUUCAAAUGUCGAAACUGAAGACGAUAUGGGCUAUCCUCGACAACGAAAAAGGAAACCAUGCUUCAAAUAUGAAGAAGAGAAUUCCGAGAAUAACAAACCUAAUAGAACAGUCCUACAAAAGCCGUCUCCAGUGAAGACUACACUUCACAAUACACCUUCAACGCCAUCAGUAUUUCCUCAUGAAGCUAAUAGAACAGUCCUACAAAAGCAGUCUCCAGUGAAGACUACACUUCACAAUACACCGUUGACG
rnacentral:lncRNA from 1 species